rnacentral:rRNA from 1 species
GCAGGCAGAUCCUCUAUGUAAAAACUGAUCGUUGAGGGGACGAAGACUCGGGUAGCGAAUAAGAUUAGAUACCCUAGUAGUCCGGGCAGACAAUUAUGAAUGUCAUAGAUUAGAAAACAAAGAAGCUAGUUAGGUUUGCUAUGAACAGACAGUAUAAUUUAAGAGUCUUGUUAUUAAAUUAUACAGUCUCUACUGUAACUAGUUUAGAUAUUAAUCCUUAGACUUCCUUAAACGAGAGUCUCCUCAUUUUCCCUUUGACUUCUCAUUAAAGGGGAGAGGCCUCCCGAGAAGCAAAGCAGAUGGGUGUAGAAUGGGAGUUUAAGGAAGGUUUAUUUGCCUCUUGGAUUAUUCAUUCUUUAAAUAAACCUUCGAAGGUUAGUUAUCUUUCUCUAGUUAACCGUACACAAGGAGCUAGAAGUGUAGUAUAUAUCAACUUGUGUAUUAAAAAGGAUACGGGUAAAGGUUUGCUUCUUCACCUUCCUAUUUUUGGUCCAUAAAUGAAAGUGUAAGCAUUCCACCUCAAGAGUAAG